GGGUCAUCUUCGGUAUCAGCAUCAUGUCCUGAGCAAAGGGCUGUGGCUCUGGGAACGGUUGUAGCCUGAGGUAGCUCCUCUGAGGCAGAAAGCCUGGUGUCCUCCAUCUGCAAUGAGAAGAGGGAAGAAAAAGUGGUAAAUGAUAAAUCGGGAGUUUUCUUUGGGGAGCCCAGGUGACAUUCAGGAGAGGUCUUGACAUGAGUCUGCUACCCGACGCAAGAAUCAGAGUGCUGCUAGUGGCAGCAUGAGACUCUUCCCCAAGCUGAUCCUACCCUCAGCCCUUUCAAGAGUUCUUCCUCCAGACACCCUGCCUGUGAGAACUCCGAGCGCUUUGGCAUGCAGAAGCUGGAACACAUUGCCUAGCCUUUCAGAAGAGGAUAGAUGAAGCCUCAAUCAUUCUGUCACUGACAGGAGACACAUCCAAACCCACUCAGCUCAGCUCAUAUGCCAGUGGUAAUAAAUAAUGGCAAAAUGAUCA